GUCUGGGACAGAGCCUGGCUUUUCUAUAAAGCUUCUGGUGAUGGGAUGUCGCUGGUUCUCAGCCACAAUUUGAGUAGCAAGAGGACAUACCAUGCCUUUUACAGAUAUUUAUAGGACAAUUUCCCUCCUGAGAGUGCCCAAGCAUGGGGGAUGGUGAGGAAGAUGACUGAAGGAGAAAGCAGGAAAAGGGGGUGUCUGCAUGUAUGAGGAUUGGAAGCCCUGGACAACUUUCAGGAAGACAGUUCUGGUCUGUAGCAAUUAACACAUGGUCAUCCUCAGAAAAAGGAGAUACCCAUAACUUAAAAUGCAGGAACCAAGAGAUUUGAGCCUAGACAUUUGGAUGAAAAGCGAUUUCCACCUGGAGAAAGUCACUGCCCUUCUGUGCAGAGUACCAUUGUGUCUUGAAUCCAGCUUGGCCAUAAGGAAAUGGGGCGAGACUUUGUCAUGUAUGUCGCUGAAGUUCAGCUAUGCAAAAAUGUUCACCUAUCCUUGAUCAACCAGUCCAGGAACCAUCAAAGAAGAAAAUGAGAUUCGACUUAGAAGACCUGUUCUUUAUAAACCCCUGCACAGCCCUAAUGAUCAACACCACUUCCAGUGCUCAUAAAUUACUGCUUCAAUAAUUGUUCUGCAAUUCUGCCUAUUCUCAUUGAAUGCUUCGUAUAAUCCCUUUAUUUACUUUGGGCUACGAUUCAUUUUUAUCAGUCAAAUGACUACUAGACUAUCCUGGUUUCUAAUUUGAAAUGUAUCCAAAGAAGAUUCCUGUCUCACCCUCUGCAAUCCACUUGCAUGUCUGACCACACUCGGUGCCUACACAAUCUUCACUUUGUCUAGCCUAAAUUCUUCUAACUGUGGCCUAAGGCCUUGGAAGAAUGAUGCCUCUGUGGGGUAAGAACUGCCUUCGUGGCAUAAGAAAGGCAGACCUGGGUGAUCUGGAAGGGCUGUUGCAAGGGGAUAGGAGUGCUGAGGCCUUUUCCAUUAAGAAUACACAGGACUAUGGAGACUCUUGUUUUACUAGAAACUUCUUCACAGAUACCUUAAAUUAGGAAGAAAAUGCCUUUGGUUCUUGGUUCUACUAUUGGCUUCAAAUUCUUAGGCAUGCCAGACCCUACUGAACAUCUUGACACAUGUCCUUUCUUCUCUGAACUGGCGCACAGGCAUGGUGAGUAACU
rnacentral:lncRNA from 1 species